GCCCUGGUGGCAGAGUGGUUAAGCACUUGGCUGCUAACCAAGAGGCCUGCAGUUCAAAUCCACCAGCU
rnacentral:tRNA from 1 species